AGCCGGUAAUCUUCGGUAAGUAACAAAACACGUGGCUGAGCUUAGGACCCCCACCACUCGAGAAAUUCUCUUUCUCUCUCUCUCUUUCUCUCUUACCUCCGGUGUUACACUCGGUGUAUUCCCGCCUCCUCCGUGGUAACCCGUCAUUCGACAGAAAUUUCCUGCGUAUAUAGUACAUAUAUAUCGCGGAUUUCAACGCGUUUCCUUCUUUCUGUGAACAGAUUUUUGUUUUCUUGUCUCUUGUGUUUCUUGCGUGUUUCUGGUGACGAAAAGAAUCGAAGGAUAUUUCUAUUUUUCGUUAAAAAGAUGUUCGUUCAACGGUGUGGAUGGUUGUUUAAAGGAGGAGGGAAGUGAAGGAUGAAACGUAGAUUAGGAGAGGCGAGUGUUGGGGAGCGGCACGUUUCAGCCCGCCAAUUAAUAGAAGAGGAAGGAAGGAAGAACAAUUUAUCACCAUAUUUAUAUUCAAUCGAUUAAUUGAAACGAAAAUUGCGCGAUUGAUAUCGAUUUUCUUCGUUUCCUCGUUCGAAUUCACGUUCAAUUCACUUGAAAAAGAAACGAACGAAGCGGUUCUCGAAAACUUGUCCUCGAGAAACAAAGUGUUUAUUCAUAUCGUACGUAUUCGCUCGUUCUGCGCGUCUGGAACAUUCUAGCGCGAAAACGAUGUGAACGGCGAUGUACGAUUAUAAACGAGGCUCACUUACCGUGCAAAAGAGGGGACGCGACAGUUGGUUGGUUACAAACACGACACGGAUUAUCCAGGCCAUUGCUUAGUAAAUCUACCAGAUCCUAGCUAUUGCGCUCGUUUCUCGGAUUUGGCGUGCGUUCCGAUAUUUAAACGUUGAUCCACCAAUGUGAACAAGAUUCCACGUUUAAUGAGCAAUGGAUCGUUGAUCGAAUAUCUGCCAAUUAUCGUAUUUCCGUUUCCAAAACUUUCCUAGGAUAAGCUUUUCGAGGGAUAAUGCGAUAUGACAUUACGAUGUCGAAAUUAAUUACAAAAAUUUGAACAGUGCAGUUUUAAGUUGAAAAAGAAUAACCUUGUCGAGGGACAACGACAUGUCGAAAUUAAUUACGAAAGAUCAACGACGCAGUUUUAAGUUUGAAGUUGAAAAAGGAAAAUUUGAAUAACGUAGUUUUAACUUAAAUUGAAGAGAUGAGAAAUGUUAUAUAUUAAUAUCGAAACCAUAACCUUUUCGAGGGACAUGGCAAUACAAUGACACGUCAAAAUUAAUUACAAAAAUUUGAACAACGCAGUUUUAAAUUGAAAAAGGUUAAUCUUUUCGAGGGACAACGACACGUCGAAAUUAAUUACGAAAAAUCGAAUAACGCAGUUUUAAGUUGAAAGGAUAACCUUUUCGAGGAACAUGGCGAUACAACGACACAUCGAAAUUAAUUACGAAAAAUCGAAAUACGUAGUUUUCACUUAAAGUUGAAAAAGGAUAACCUUUUCGAGGGAAAAUAUAAUACGACUCGUCAAAAUUAAUUAAAAAAAUCUGAACAGCGCAAUUUUAACUUAAGUUGAAGAAGAAAGAAAGGUUAUGUUCUUCGAAUAUUUGAACGCGAAAAAUCUGCAGGACUGCAAGUAUCUUCGAAUAUAGAUGAACCAUAGAUUUUUUUUAAACUUUUAUCUUUUACUGAAAAACUUAUUAAUAAAAUAGUGCGCGAAACAAAUAAUUAUGCAAAAUAAAAAAGUCAGAGGAAAAACUUGCCUUGACAAACCGAGGAUGCAUCUUGAUCCGAAUCAUCUGGACUUUUCGACCGAGCGAAACAGGCUUGCAGUACCUGAGGGUUAAGUGAAACGAAGCUCAGUGGUUAACGAACAACCGAAUGCAUAUUUCCGUUUCCUUCUGCCCAUCUCUCCUCAUAUCGGUCGACUAUCCAGCGGCGAAAAUUGUUUGGAAGCCACCUUGGAGGUGAUUCGAGGGAUGUUCGAAUGGCUCGGGAAUCAAUUGCGUUAGAGAUUACCGCGUUUGAUUCAAUUCCCAGUUUCUGGCUGAGCUUAAUUUAUUAUCGUUCCGGCCAACGCUCCAACUGUUUGGUCACGGACUUUGGCUACGGCCACGGGUUAUACGGGUGUGCUCCCGCGUGUACAGCUACACGCCCCGUACACGCGGAUGGAUAUACGUACGAUUUAUAAUACGGGCGAGGCGCGUUGUUAAUCGCGCGGGAUACGAGUUGGAAUUUUGCCGGUGUUCUUCGAUCGUCCCGGGUUUCAACCAUCGUCAAAAUUUCAUUACCCGUGUUGCGAAUAAUUUUCCUAUAUAUAUAUUUUGUACGAAUUUCGUUCUAGGAAAAAAUUCUUUUUCUAAAAAUAAUUUCAAUUUCGAUGACAGUCGAAAGAAGAAUCGUGUUUAAUUUUUGGGAUGUUUUCUACGAAUCGUUCUAUAAAAAAAUUCUUUUCGAAAAAUUUCAACGAAAGCCUUUUUUAUAUAUAUAUAUAUAUAUUUUGUACGAAUUUCGUUCUAGGAAAAAAUUCUUUUUCUAAAAAUAAUUUCAAUUUCGAUGAAGGUCGAAAGAAGAAUCGUGUUUAAUCUAAUGUUUCCUAUGAAUCAUUCUAUAAAAAAAUUCUUUUCGAAAAAUUUCAAAGAAGAUUAAAAGAAGAAUCGUGUCCAAUCCUUGGGAUAUUUUCUAUAUUAUAUAUAUAUGUAUUUCACGUGAAUCUAAAAAAAUUCUA